GGCGGGGUGGAGCAGCCUGGUAGCUCGUCGGGCUCAUAACCCGAAGGUCGUCGGUUCAAAUCCGGCCCCCGCAACC
rnacentral:tRNA from 1 species